AACGCUAGCUACAGGCUUAACACAUGCAAGUCGAGGGGUAACGGAGUGGGAAGCUUGCUUCCCUUGCCGACGACCGGCGAAUGGGUGAGUAACGCGUAUCCAACCUGCCCGCAUCCCGGGGAUAGCCCUUAGAAAUGAGGAUUAAUACCCGAUAUGCCACGGAGCCGCAUGACUCCGUGAUGAAACAGGAUGCGGAUGGGGAUGCGUACGAUUAGCUGGUUGGCGGGGUAACGGCCCACCAAGGCUACGAUCGUUAGGGGUUCUGAGAGGAAGGUCCCCCACAUUGGUACUGAGACACGGACCAAACUCCUACGGGAGGCAGCAGUGAGGAAUAUUGGUCAAUGGGCGAGAGCCUGAACCAGCCAAGUAGCGUGUAGGAAGACUGCCCUAUGGGUUGUAAACUACUUUUGUGCGGGAAUAAAAAAUGCCACGUGUGGCAUCUUGCAUGUACCGUUACGAAUAAGGACCGGCUAAUUCCGUGCCAGCAGCCGCGGUAAUACGGAAGGUCCGAGCGUUAUCCGGAUUUAUUGGGUUUAAAGGGUGCGUAGGCGGCAUGUCAAGUCAGCCGUGAAAUUGCGGGGCUCAACCCCGUACUGCGGUUGAGACUGGCGCGCUUGAGUGCGGGAGAGGAAGAUGGAAUU
rnacentral:rRNA from 1 species